GAGAUGUUGGGUUAAGUCCCGUAACGAGCGCAACCCCUAUCCCUAGUUGCUAGCAGUUCGGCUGAGAACUCUAGGGAGACUGCCGGUGUCAAACCGGAGGAAGGUGGGGAUGACGUCAGGUCAUCAUGGCCCUUACGGCCAGGGCUACACACGUGCUACAAUGGUGCGUACAGAGGGCUGCAAACCCGCGAGGGGGAGCUAAUCUCACAAAACGCAUCGUAGUCCGGAUCGGAGUCUGCAACUCGACUCCGUGAAGUCGGAAUCGCUAGUAAUCGCGGAUCAGAAUGCCGCGGUGAAUACGUUCCCGGGCCUUGUACACACCGCCCGUCACACCAUGGGAGUGGAUUGCACCAGAAGUGGUUAGUCUAACCGUAAGGGGGACGAUCACCACGGUGUGGUUCAUGACUGGGGUGAAGUCGUAACAAGGUAGCCCUAGGGGAACCUGCGGCUGGAUCACCUCCUU
rnacentral:rRNA from 1 species